rnacentral:rRNA from 1 species
AUGAACGCUAGCGGCAGGCUUAACACAUGCAAGUCGAGGGGCAGCAGGCUGUAGCAAUACGGUGCUGGCGACCGGCGCAAGGGUGCGUAACGCGUGAGCAACUUGCCCGCAACAGGAGGAUAACCGGAGGAAACUCCGACUAAUACUGCGUAGCAACAGGGUGUGGCAUCACACAUUGUUUAAAGACGGAAGUCGGUUGCGGAUAGGCUCGCGUGACAUUAGGUAGACGGCGGGUAACGGCCCACCGUGCCGACGAUGUCUAGGGGUUCUGAGAGGAAGGUCCCCACACUGGUACUGAGACACGGACCAGACUCCUACGGAGGCAGCAGUGAGGAAUAUUGGACAAUGGUCGGAAGACUGAUCCAGCCAUGCCGCGUGAAGGAUAAGGUCCUAUGGAUUGUAAACUUCUUUGUACGAGAGGAAUAAGGGUGAAGAGUCAUCCGAUGACAGUAUCGUACGAAUAAGCAUCGGCUAACUCCGUGCC